CCUACGGGAGGCAGCAGUGGGGAAUAUUGGACAAUGGGCGCAAGCCUGAUCCAGCAAUGCCGCGUGGGUGAAGAAGGUCUUCGGAUUGUAAAGCCCUUUCGACGGGGAGGCGGUACCCGUAGAAGAAGCCCCGGCUAACUUCGUGCCAGCAGCCGCGGUAAUACGAAGGGGGCUAGCGUUGCUCGGAAUUACUGGGCGUAAAGGGCGCGUAGGCGGCACUGUUAGUCAGGCGUGAAAGUCCUGGGCUCAACCUGGGAACUGCGCUUGAUACGGCAGAGCUAGAGGAUGGAAGAGGCUCGCGGAAUUCCCAGUGUAGAGGUGAAAUUCGUAGAUAUUGGGAAGAACACCGGUGGCGAAGGCGGCGAGCUGGUCCAUACUGACGCUGAGGCGCGACAGCGUGGGGAGCAAACAGGAUUAGAUACCCUUGUAGUC
rnacentral:rRNA from 1 species